AUUGAACGCUGGCGGCAUGCUUUACACAUGCAAGUCGAACGGUAACAGCACUUCGGUGGCUGACGAGUGGCGAACGGGUGCGUAAUACAUCGGAACGUGCCUAGUAGUGGGGGAUAACUACUCGAAAGAGUAGCUAAUACCGCAUGAGAUCUAAGGAUGAAAGCAGGGGACCUUCGGGCCUUGCGCUACUAGAGCGGCUGAUGGCAGAUUAGGUAGUUGGUGGGAUAAAAGCUUACCAAGCCGACGAUCUGUAGCUGGUCUGAGAGGACGACCAGCCACACUGGGACUGAGACACGGCCCAGACUCCUACGGGAGGCAGCAGUGGGGAAUUUUGGACAAAGGGCGCAAGCCUGAUCCAGCAAUGCCGCGUGCAGGAUGAAGGCCUUCGGGUUGUAAACUGCUUUUGUACGGAACGAAAAGCCCUCUUCUAAUACAGGAGGGUCAUGACGGUACCGUAAGAAUAAGCACCGGCUAACUACGUG
rnacentral:rRNA from 1 species